GCAUAUACCGAAGUAUCUCAUCGGUUCCAGCUUCAAGGAUCUCAUCGAUUCAUGAUAUAUGUAUAUGCUUUCUCUACCGAUUCAAGACUCCCAUCGGUUCACUUCGUAAUCCAAUGCUCAAUCUAUCGAUUCAAGACUCGAUUAACGCUCGGUCCAGGUGAGACUUAGCAAGAAAAGAAGGCAAGAGAGCAGCUCGACAAAAAAUUGGUCAUGAAGCGUAUUCUCAAGUAUCGCUAAUCAUUUCACCGGAGUAGCUAAGUCUUUCAGCAAUUAUAUGAAGAGUUGCAGCCCUCGGUGUUAAAAUUGUUGGUGCAAGGCAAGGGAAAGGAAAUAUAUGACUCCAUUGCUAAUGGACACUCAUGCAAAAUAAAUUCGACCUUUUAAGGUUAAACAAAUUAGUUAUAUCUCUUAAAAAGAAGACAUUGAAACCAUAACAUAGCUGUAUUUGAAGGGAAUUUACAAAGUUUUUUUUUUUUUUUUACGAAGAACAUUAGGUGGUGAUGAGUAAGUUACCAUAGAACCAGUAGGAAUCGAUGACUUAGUAUCUUUAUU